rnacentral:tRNA from 1 species
AGACUAUAGUUUAUAAAAAUAUUAGCUUUGGGAGCUAAAGAUUCGAUCACCAUCGUAGUCUGA